AUGGCCCUUCCAUCAGGGCUAAGAUUCCAGAAAGACUCAUGGUUCUCCCAACCCCACUUCCUCCCAACACAGGUUCGGAAGCCCAGGGCCUGUGGAAGCUCAUGUGGGCAAAGCAUCCGGAACGUGCCUGGCACAGGGUCAGACCUCUCCAGUGGAACACUGCCCACCACUCCGUGGCCCCCCAGGCCCCCAGCCACUGCAGAGGCUGUCUGUGCCCGCACCCUCAAGGUCCUAAGCAGCCCCGCCCCGCAGGCGGGCAGAGCAGAGCACCCCACCUGCGGCUUCCUGUUGGGCUUCCUGAGCAUGGCCAUCCUGGCUGAAGGCCAUACCUCCCUCCAGGGAGGCCAGGGAGAAGACUCAGUACCGCCUUGGGUGUUUCCACCAGGUCUUUCCCUCUGGCAGCUCCAGGCCGGAAAAUGCCAGCUCCACAGCUGGGCUUCAGUGGAAGCUGUGUCUUGGCCCCACCCCAGUGACCAGAGGCCUUACAAGGACCCUGUCCAUGCUCCCGCUGGCACCAGGGACAGGAACUAUGAGAAACCCUCUGCAACAGCAGCCCACAUCCUGCUGGUCCUGAGGUCCGACCCUGUUGGGGAGCCUGAGCUAAACAAUCUGGGGACCAAAACCGUGAAGUCACUCAUACAAGGCUGUCCAGUGAUGGGCCAGGACCGGCAUCUCUGUGGAUGAGCCCUUCCCAUUGGUGUGACCCGGAUGCAGAGAAGACACCGCCCUCCAGAUGCCCCACCACCCCCCUGCCCGACACACACACACACACACACACACACACACACACACACAUCACAAAUACACCACACCCCCACCACACACACCACACACACACACCACACACACACACACACGCCCCAUCACACCUGCACCACACACACACACACACCACACACACAUCACAAAUACACCACACACACACAAACCCACCCACCACACACACCACACACACAGACACACAUACGGCCCACCACACCCCCACCACACCCACAUACACACAAACGGAGGGGGAAAGGUUGGAAAGAAUUUUUGAUCUGUUUCAAUAAAACACCAAACAUAGCGUUGAAGGAAAAGCCA
rnacentral:lncRNA from 1 species